GUAACCUACACCCCUUGUAUGUCAGUAAAUGUGAUAAAUGAGGUAACCUACACCCCUUGUAUGCCAGUAAAUAUGAUGAGGUAACCUACACCCCUUGUAUGUCAGUAAAUGUGAUAAAUGAGGUAACCUACACCCCUUGUAUGCCAGUAAAUGUGAUAAAUGAGGUAACCUACACCCCUUGUAUGCCAGUAAAUGUGAUGAGGUAACCUACACCCCUUGUAUGCCAGUAAAUGUGAUGAGGUAACCUACACCCCUUGUAUGUCAGUAAAUGUGAUGAGGUAACCUACACCCCUUGUAUGCCAGUAAAUGUGAUAAAUGAGGUAACCUACACCCCUUGUAUGUCAGUAAAUGUGAUAAAUGAGGUAACCUACACCCCUUGUAUGCCAGUAAAUGUGAUAAAUGAGGUAACCUACACCCCUUGUAUGCCAGUAAAUGUGAUAAAUGAGGUAACCUACACCCCUUGUAUGCCA